rnacentral:rRNA from 1 species
CAGCCGCCACGGGAAUACAGAGGGUGCGAGCGUUAAUCGGAUUUACUGGGCGUAAAGCGUGCGUAGGCGGCUUCUUAAGUCGGAUGUGAAAUCCCUGAGCUUAACUUAGGAAUUGCAUUCGAUACUGGGAAGCUAGAGUAUGGGAGAGGAUGGUAGAAUUCCAGGUGUAGCGGUGAAAUGCGUAGAGAUCUGGAGGAAUACCGAUGGCGAAGGCAGCCAUCUGGCCUAAUACUGACGCUGAGGUACGAAAGCAUGGGGAGAAAACAGGAUUAGAUACCCGGGUAGUCCCUGUCUCUUAUAC